AGUUGCUGCCCAUCUUGGGGCGUUUCCUCCCUAGACUUUGGCCACACCGCGCGUGUGGCCUUUUUUUGUGGAGGC
rnacentral:sRNA from 1 species